GAUGAAGAACGCAGCGAAAUGCGAUAACUAAUGUGAAUUGCAGAAUUCCGUGAAUCAUCGAGUCUUUGAACGCACAUUGCGCCCCCUGGUAUUCCGGGGGGCAUGCCUGUCCGAGCGUCAUUAACCCUCAAGCCCGGCUUGUGUAAUGGGCGGCCGUCUCUCCCCCCGGGGGGAGACGCCCCCGAAACUCAGUGGGGAUGUCGCGAUACCGAAGCCUCAGCUAAUGGGUAAACCACAGCUGCAAUGGCCGCGGCCGGCGUCCGCCUUCCACGGUCCGUCCGCCUAGCGCGGGCGGCCUUCUCAAGGUUGACCUCGGAUCAGGUAGGGAUACCCGCUGAACUUAAGCAUAUCAAUAAGCGGAGGA
rnacentral:misc_RNA from 1 species